UACAGAGGGUGCAAGCGUUUAAUCGGAAUUACUGGGCGUAAAGCGUGCGUAGACGGUUAUGUAAGUCAGAUGUGAAAGCCCCGGGCUCAACCUGGGAAUUGCAUUUGAGACUGCAUAGCUAGGGUGCGGAAGAGGGAAGCGGAAUUUCCGGUGUAGCGGUGAAAUGCGUAGAUAUCGGAAGGAACACCAGUGGCGAAAGCGGCUUCCUGGUCCAGCACCGACGUCAGGCACGAAAGCGUGGGGAGCAAACAGG
rnacentral:rRNA from 1 species